AUGUACGAGGCAUAGAAACUCCUUCGUGCUCCAUCUCCAGUUGCUGAAGUCGUUCCUGAUCGGCCUCCAUCUCCAGUUCGCCUCUCUUCCCUGAGCUCCCUCCCACCGCGCGCUCUCCUGCUGCCGCUCUUUCCCGGCGUGUCCCUGCUCCAGCGCCGCGGAGCUCCCGCGCGCGCAAGUCCCUCUGGUGGGCGUCGCGCUGGUCGCAUCCCCUCCGGUCUCCUCCCUCAAGCGCCGCUUCUUCGUGCCCGUGAUUGGAGAUCCUCGCCCAUGGCUCUGGGCUGCCAGCUCCGAGCUCCUCCCUGCUUCUCUGCUCCAGCCCGACCGCCCUCACCUCAUCCCCUUCCUGACGCUCGUCCUCGGCUCCCUCUCUCGUCUGGUGGCUGGUGCGCGCAGGCGUCAGGCUCAGGGAGUCCCCGCGCGAGCUGGCGCUGUGUGGGCCGGCGGCGGCGAUGGAGGUGCUGGCUGCCGCUCCUCGUAGGCGUUGCCUUCCUCGGCCUCCUUGACAUGGCGAAGAACGUCGAGGUGGUCGAGAGCUGCACCACCUCCUUUUACCGCUGCUCCUCCCAUGGGGGUGAAGCCGUGGGUCGGGGCGCGGUCCCGUGGUCAGGCGACGACGGCGAGGGCGAAGAGACCCGGCGGUGCGAGCAGCGGUCCGAGAGGGAGGACGCCAUGCCCUACGACCGCGACGUUGACAUGGAUGCCGUGCUUGUCGGUGGCGCAGCCAAGGACUGGAGUAAAUGCUACAUAGAUCCUUCUAUAGAGGGUAUCCUCAGAUCGAUGGAGUCAUCUCAAUAUUAUUCAAAGAAUAGUAUUAAUGUGGCUCGAGGGAGAGGGUACAAGAUUGUGAUUACAAUCAGCCUUUCUUCAGACUUCCCAGUUGGCAACUCUUCAUGGGCUGAAUAUGAUGCUGUGGCACCUGUGCCUCCAAAGACUGAAGAAGCUCUUGCUGCAGCCUUUAUUUCUAACUGUUGUGCACGGAACUUUCGUUUGCAAGCCCUCGAGAUGCUUGAAAAUUUGGAUGUCAAAAUAGAUUCGUAUGGUGGUUGUCAUCGCAACCGUGAUGGCAAAGUGGACACCUUGAAGCGAUACAAAUUCAGCUUGGCAUUUGAGAAUUCUAAUGAGGAGGAUUACGUAACAGAAGAGUUUUUUCCCAAUCACUGGUACGAUAAUUGAUCACGUGAUGCGAAAGAAGAGCCAAGUCGACCCCAAGAUGACGUAACGAGUGGACUAAUUCGCAAGGUGAUGCGGAUGGACGAACCUGAAGGUGGAUAAACUGAACAAGUGCCAAAACAAAGGAUGGUCGCCAAGUGGACGUCACCUAACAAACACUAACGUAGUGUUAAUCCAG